rnacentral:rRNA from 1 species
AGCGAACGCUGGCGGCAGGCUUAACACAUGCAAGUCGAGCGGGCCCUUCGGGGUCAGCGGCAGACGGGUGAGUAACGCGUGGGAACGUGCCCUUCGGUUCGGAAUAACUCAGGGAAACUUGAGCUAAUACCGGAUACGCCCUUUUGGGGAAAGGCUUGACUGCCGAAGGAUCGGCCCGCGUCUGAUUAGCUAGUUGGUGAGGUUACGGCUCACCAAGGCGACGAUCAGUAGCUGGUCUGAGAGGAUGAUCAGCCACACUGGGACUGAGACACGGCCCAGACUCCUACGGGAGGCAGCAGAGGGGAAUAUUGGACAAUGGGGGCAACCCUGAUCCAGCCAUGCCGCGUGAGUGAUGACGGCCUUAGGGUUGUAAAGUUCUUUUCUCCGGGACGAUAAUGACGGUACCGGAGGAAUAAGCCCCGGCUAACUUCGUGCCAGCAGCCGCCGUAA